ensembl:miRNA Gm27450 predicted gene, 27450
UAUAUAAUAUAUGUGUGUGUGUGUGUGUGUGUAUGUAUGUGUAUACACACACACACACACACACACACACAUAUAUAU